ensembl:lncRNA
CGCGAAAGGCUUUGCUAUACUAUUUUACCAUAUAUACCACCAUCCAAAGUGGAGAGCUCCAUGAUUGAAGCUCUGUAGGUUACAGUGGAGUAGACCCUAGUGGGAGGGGGAAUAGGUUAUAGUGGAGUAGACCCUAGUGGAAGGGGGAAUAGGUUAUAGUGGAGUAGACCCUAGUGGGAGGGGGAAUAGGUUAUAGUGGAGUAGACCCUAGUGGAAGGGGGAAUAGGUUACAGUGGAGUAGACCCUAGUGGGAGGGGGAAUAGGUUAUAGUGGAGUAGACCCUAGUGGGAGGGGGAAUAGGUUAUAGUGGAGUAGACCCUAGUGGGAGGGGAAUAGGUUAUAGUGGAGUAGACCCUAGUGGGAGGGGGAAUAGGUUAUAGUGGAGUAGACCCUAGUGGGAGGGGGAAUAGGUUAUAGUGGAGUAGACCCUAGUGGAAGGGGGAAUAGGUUAUAGUGGAGUAGACCCU